rnacentral:lncRNA from 1 species
UUGACGGGCACGCGCAUUAAAGAGAAACGCCGGCUAGGGGUAGGGACUCGCCCCAAGAACGGUCAUGAGACCGCAGGGGGUGGGUUUGUUCUGCAGUCCUUUGCAGCCCCUGACUUCACAACUUGCCUCAGAGCUUUUGCAAAGUAGCUGCGAGGACUGCCUCUGUGGACACAUUCACCUAAACUCGUGUGCUAGCGGUGCCCACAUGCACCCAAGAAAAUGUCACAGUUGUUUUUCAGACCUUGUUCAUUGGCAGCUGGGAGCCAGGAUGCAGCAGUGUCAACGUCCAUCUUGUGGAAAGGAUUGGAGAAGGUUUCACUGCUUGAUUGCUGAAGCUGGUUCCAACAGAAGUACUUCAUUUGUCUGGAGCUGUUUUACCGCUGUUAGCUAUUUAUAAAGUUCAAAAAAGGAAUAGUACAAAUCAGAAUUAUACUUCCUAUUCUUUCAAGGAAUAUCUGUUGAGUACCAGGCAUUCAAUACUAGUCAGGUGUGGUGGUGCAUACCUGGUAACCUUAGCAAUUGGGAGGCUGAGGCCAGUCUGGGCUAUUUAGUAAGUUCAAGGCAAGCCUAAACUACACAGCAAGACCCUGUCUAAAACGAAACAAACCCCCCAAAACAGGAAUAUGGAGUCUGGGUGGUAGGGCUAUAGCUUUGAAGAAGUAAAAAAAAUCCCUGCCUCACAGAGCUCUCCUCUUCCUGACACUUCCCUGUUUUAUAUUCCACAUCUAAUAUAAUAGCAAAUUCUAUUGACUCUGCCUUCAAGAAUAUAUCCUGAAAGUGUCCAUGUCUUCCUAGUCCCUCCACACUGCUAAUGCCCUGAUUCAACCCUCCACACCGCUAAUGCCCUGAUUUACUCAGCCAUGGUCUCCUACCUGAUUGUUCUACUUCCCACUAAUCCAUCUACCACACCCACCCCAACAAACAGCAGUCUGAGUAGGUUGUUUGUUUUGGUACCAGGGAUUGAACUCAUGACCUUAUGCUUGUCAGGCAGGUUGAGUAGAUUUUUAAAAACAUAGGUUAGGUUAUACCUCUUCUCUGAAAGGCCAGUGGCUUUGCAUUCUACAGCAACCACCGGUUCUUCUGAUGACUUCAUGCAGGAGCCCUAUGACUUCAAGUUGUAUAGUUUCACCUGAUCCUCAUCUCUCUCCAGCCACACUCACUUGCUGUUAUAAAACACACCAAGCAUUCCUCAGUCUCAAGACUCUUGUACUUCGUAUUUCCAAACAUUCUUCUCUCUUACUCUACCUGUAGAACUUCCUAUCUCCUUUGUAGGCUUUAUCUUUCUCAGAACCAUCAUCUGACAUGGUUUGUUUUAAUCUUUCCCUUCUUCCUCUUCCUUCUCCAAUCCUUGCCCCACACCAUCCAAUACAUGCAUACAUGUAAGCACCUUAAAUAAAAGGGUAUUGUUGGCUGGGGUUCACUGCUAUAGAUAUUCAUUAGUACUGGUUGGGAGGGAAAUCAGCUUCUUUCAUUUGAUAACAUAAUAGACAUCUUUCUAGUUUCUUCAGUAAAGAUCAUUAGUAAUUUCGGGAUUCUUAAUUUGUAGUAGGCAAUGUGCUAAGUGUUUUAUAUGCACAUACCUGGGUUGGUUUCAUUUCACUGACCUGGAACAGAUCAAAAUUCUGAGGUACAGAGAGAUUUAGUUACUUGCCCACAAUUUCACAGCUAGUUAGUAGCAAAAACUAAGAUUUGGAAUCAGUUUGGCUGUGGAAUCUGUGAACCUCAGGACAGUUUACCAUGAUCCCAGUGUACAAACACAGAUUUUUUUGUUUUUUCAUUUCUCUCCCGUAAGACUCAAAUUUGGUCUCUAAGAUAAAUAGUUUACCUUGUUUAUAUUUCCUGCUCUGGCCCAUCGAUCUGUCAUCAUGAACUCUCUUUCCUUUUCUACGUUUAUUUCUAGGCUUUAAUUGAGUCUAUAUUUUCCACCUUAGAAUUGACAAAUGACAAUUUUUUUUUUUUGAAGAAUUCUUAUCACUUUGUUGCUGCCAACUUCAUGAGAAGGUAGAAUCACAAUUAGUUUUCCAGCUUGACUGGAUGGGUGAUAGAAAAGACUCUCUGUGGAGAAUUGGACUCGAUUUUAGCAGAAAGCAUCAUAGUGGUAGAGUACUGCCACUUAUUUAGGCAGCUGUCCUCCUGUUAGGCACCCAGUGAUUAGGAGUUAUUAAAUAUUUGGAUUAUGUUAUGCAAGAAACAUCAUAUUAGCUCAGAUCCACCUAAGAGAACAGAAACAAAGACAAUAAUUGUUUACUUAAUGCCUGGUUUAAGGGAAGCUAUGGGCACCCUGUAGUACCCAGAAUAUUUUGGAUAUGAAAGAAAGCCAAUGCUAAUAAGGGACAAUUGAAGUUCCAUUAAUGCUGAGACCCCCAAGGACCCAAUUACUUAGUACAGUAUUGUCACAAAGAUGGUGGCUAAAAAGUAUUACAUGAAUGAAUGAAUUUCUAACAGAAAAUGGAAGAGUACCAAGGACUAAUUCUCCUGACUUCCUCAUUUGGCCCAAGACUGCCACCUAGGCCACUAUGUAGGAUUACAUAUGUUGUAAACUGUAACAUAUCAGGGGACGAUAUUCAGGUAAAUUAAAAUGUCAAUACAUAACUGUGGUUGCUUCUCUGAGUUUCAGCCCUUGUCCAAAUAUGGUAAUCAGUCUUUAUGAUGACCUCAAUGAUCUUGGUAAUCAUACCCUUAUAGAUUUCCCUACCAUUUUCUGUAAGUGUUGGUAGAAUGCUGAGAAAUCAUUGUAUAAGGUAGAGGUAGGAAAAUCAUUUGAAUCCAGGAAUUCCAGACCAGCUUGGAUAACAUAGCAAAACCCCAUCACAAGGAACGA